rnacentral:rRNA from 1 species
GACGAACGCUGGCGGCGUGCCUAAUACAUGCAAGUAGAACGCUGAAGGAGGAGCUUGCUUCUCCGGAUGAGUUGCGAACGGGUGAGUAACGCGUAGGUAACCUGCCUGGUAGCGGGGGAUAACUAUUGGAAACGAUAGCUAAUACCGCAUAACAGUAGAUAUUGCAUGAUAUCUGCUUGAAAGGUGCAAUUGCAUCACUACCAGAUGGACCUGCGUUGUAUUAGCUAGUUGGUGAGGUAACGGCGCACCAAGGCGACGAUCCAUAGCCGACCUGUGAGGGGGAUCGGCCGCACUGGGAGUGAGGCACGGCACAGACUCCUACGGGAGGCAGCAGUAGGGAAUCGUCGGCAAUGGACGGAAGUCUGACCGAGCAACGCCGCGGGAGUGAAGAAGGUUUUCGGAUCGUAAAGCUCGGUUGUAAGAGAAGAAAGAGUGUGAGAGUGGAAAGUUCACACUGUGACGGUAUCUUACCAGAAAGGGACGGCUAACUACGUG